GAUCAUGGCUCAGAUUGAACGCUGGCGGCAUGCCUUACACAUGCAAGUCGAACGGCAGCACGGGAGCAAUCCUGGUGGCGAGUGGCGAACGGGUGAGUAAUAUAUCGGAACGUGCCCAGUCGUGGGGGAUAACGCAGCGAAAGCUGUGCUAAUACCGCAUACGAUCUACGGAUGAAAGCGGGGGACUCGCAAGAGCCUCGCGCGAUUGGAGCGGCCGAUAUCAGAUUAGCUAGUUGGUGGGGUAAAAGCCCACCAAGGCGACGAUCUGUAGCUGGUCUGAGAGGACGACCAGCCACACUGGAACUGAGACACGGCCCAGACUCCUACGGGAGGCAGCAGUGGGGAAUCUUGCACAAUGGAGGAAACUCUGAUGCAGCGAUGCCGCGUGAGUGAAGAAGGCCUUUGGGUUGUAAAGCUUCUUUUGUAGGGGAAGAUAAUGACUGUACCCUAAGAAUAAGGUCCGGCUAACUUCGUG
rnacentral:rRNA from 1 species